AGAGUUUGAUCCUGGCUCAGGACGAACGCUGGCGGCGUGCCUAACACAUGCAAGUUGAGCGAAGCACUUUGGGUAGCUUGCUACCUGAUUUGACUGAGCGGCGAACGGGUGAGUAACACGUGGGUAAUCUGCCUGGAAGUCAGGGAUAACAGUUGGAAACGGCUGCUAAUACCGGAUAAUGUUUUAGCUGUAGAAGCUAAAACCAAAGCGCUAUGUAGCGCUUCCAGAUGAGCCCGCGUCCCAUUAGUUAGUUGGUGGGGUAAUGGCCUACCAAGGCGACGAUGGGUGGCCGGUCUGAGAGGAUGGACGGCCACACUGGGACUGAGACACGGCCCAGACUCCUACGGGAGGCAGCAGUGGGGAAUUUUGCGCAAUGGGGGCAACCCUGACGCAGCGACGCCGCGUGAGUGACGAAGGCCUUCGGGUUGUAAAACUCUGUCUAGGGGGAAGAUAGUGACGGUACCCCUGGAGGAAGCCCCGGCUAACUACGUGCCAGCAGCCGCGGUAAGACGUAGGGGGCGAGCGUUGUCCGGAAUUACUGGGCGUAAAGGGCGUGUAGGCGGCCUGUAAAGUCAGCUGUGAAAUCCCUCGGCUCAACUGAGGGCUUGCAGUUGAAACUACCAGGCUUGAGUGCAGGAGAGGAAGGUGGAAUUCC
rnacentral:rRNA from 1 species